CCUACGGGAGGCAGCAGUGGGGAAUCUUCCGCAAUGGACGAAAGUCUGACGGAGCAACGCCGCGUGAACGAUGACGGCCUUCGGGUUGUAAAGUUCUGUUAUACGGGACGAAUGGCGUAGCGGUCAAUACCCGUUACGAGUGACGGUACCGUAAGAGAAAGCCACGGCUAACUACGUGCCAGCAGCCGCGGUAAUACGUAGGUGGCAAGCGUUGUCCGGAAUUAUUGGGCGUAAAGGGCGCGCAGGCGGCGUCGUAAGUCGGUCUUAAAAGUGCGGGGCUUAACCCCGUGAGGGGACCGAAACUGCGAUGCUAGAGUAUCGGAGAGGAAAGCGGAAUUCCUAGUGUAGCGGUGAAAUGCGUAGAUAUUAGGAGGAACACCAGUGGCGAAAGCGGCUUUCUGGACGACAACUGACGCUGAGGCGCGAAAGCCAGGGGAGC
rnacentral:rRNA from 1 species